rnacentral:rRNA from 1 species
CCUACGGGCGGCAGCAGUGGGGAAUAUUGGACAAUGGGGGAAACCCUGAUCCAGCCAUGCCGCGUGUGUGAAGAAGGCCCUCGGGUUGUAAAGCACUUUCAGUGAGGAAGAACGCCUGGUGGUUAAUACCCAUCAGGAAAGACAUCACUCACAGAAGAAGCACCGGCUAACUCCGUGCCAGCAGCCGCGGUAAUACGGAGGGUGCGAGCGUUAAUCGGAAUUACUGGGCGUAAAGCGCGCGUAGGUGGCUUGAUAAGCCGGUUGUGAAAGCCCCGGGCUCAACCUGGGAACGGCAUCCGGAACUGUCAAGCUAGAGUGCAGGAGAGGAAGGUAGAAUUCCCGGUGUAGCGGUGAAAUGCGUAGAGAUCGGGAGGAAUACCAGUGGCGAAGGCGGCCUUCUGGACUGACACUGACACUGAGGUGCGAAAGCGUGGGUAGCAAACAGGAUUAGAUACCCCAGUAGUU